rnacentral:lncRNA from 1 species
UUUUUUUUUUUUCUUUUUUCUUUUUUUUUGGAGAUUAAGUCUUGCUCUGUCACCCAGGCUGGAGUGCAGCAGUGCAAUCUCGGUUCACUGCAACGUCCGCCUCCCAGGUUCAAGCAAUUCUCCCGCCUCAGCCUCCUGAGUAGCUGGGUUUACAGGCACGUGCCACCACAUCCAGCUAAUUUUUGUAUUUUUAGUAGAGAUAGGGUUUCACUGUGUUGGCCAGGAUGGUCUCAAUCUCCCGACCUCAUGAUCUGCCCACCUUGGCCUCCCAAAGUGCUGGGAUUACAGGCAUGAGCCACCACACCCGCCCCCCUUGGUUUCUUUCUUACCUUUGUAUUCUAAAACUUCUAGACCAAACAGUAAAUACAAAUGUCACAAGCAUACCCUAUGCACAAAAAUGAGAGAAGGAUUAAUUUAAAUAACAUACAUCACUGCAGAGAAAGAAAUACAGGUGAAAGUUUUAGUUCUUUCUGCUUCUUGGUUACAAGUCAGUAGUAGUUGUUAUUUAUGACUUCCCUCAUAUACUACCAUUCCAGGUACCUCUUGUUUUGACCGGGUUUGUUCCCUCGUAGGGAGUCCACAAACUUUCACUCCUGAAAAGCCCAAGCCCUUGAUGGUUUUACACAUGUAGAGCUGUGUGAUCUUCUUUUGACUCAGCAGGAGCUGUAAAGAGGCAUCUCAGUUUCCUCUGAGUACCACUCCUACUUCCCUCUGCCCCCAUUCUGUAGAGCCGUCUUUUUGCUUUUCAUGAUAACGGUCAAUCUGCUUCAACAACUCCAAAACUCCCUUCUACACAUAACACCAUGCUCUCCUAAUGGCAGCAGGAGCCAAAAACGGCAGCCACAGCUCAGUUUUCAGUUAGUGGAAUGAUUUUUGUGCCCCUGGUGAAAUCACUUUCACCCUUAGGUAUUAAAAUCUCCAAACUUCAUAUACACAAUUAAAAAUUAUUUUUUCUUUUUAAAAAAUCUUUUCCUAUGUGUUCUAUGCAGUUUUUCAUACAACUCUUUCUUAAGAAACUCCUAGAGGAUAUACUCCAUUAAAAUGAAGCCAACUCAGAAAAACACGGCUCCAGGAAAGGGGUGGGUUCAAUGUAGGAAAAAAGUGAAGGCAGUAUCAGGUGAAGAGAGAUGAAGAGAGAGUCCAGAAUGACAGAAGAACAGCAGCGCCAGAAAGCAGUCAGCUCUUACUGGAGCAGGGGAGAGGACUCUGCAAAAUGCAUCUCCACAGAGAUCAAAUUGAUGGAAUACCUGAUGUGUUUGAAUGCACUGAGAGAUUUACACUUAUGGCAAAGUUUAGGGUUGUGUUAGGAAUAGGACUAUUAAACCAAGCAAACAAAAAUAUAUUAACUCCAAGAGGAAGAAGUUGUACAAAAAAAGAGAAAUGUAACUCAAGCAUGUACUGUAUCUUUGACUAUUCAUAAUAUUGUACACAUUGACUAUAGAUUGAAUCAAAAGGAUGACUGAAAGGCAAUUCGUGGUAUGGGGGAAAGGGGAAGGGAAAAAGGUGAAGAUUAAACUCUCCUCUUCUAUGGCUGGAAGUUCUGUGCCCCAGAAUUCCCUUGGUUCCUGCAUGUUCUCCAAGCUGAUCUACAUCUAGCAGCUCAUCACCUCUGGUUUCCAGGUGGGUUUGGCCAGUGGGAAGCCCGGGCAGGAGAUCAGAGAGGAUGAGGAGAAUGGGGUAAGGACAACUAUUUCCUCCCUUGUGGUGACAUAAGGUAGGCUGUUAACAGAGGGAA